AGUGAACGCUGGCGGUAGGCCUAACACAUGCAAGUCGAACGGCAGCACAGUAAGAGCUUGCUCUUACGGGUGGCGAGUGGCGGGCGGGUGAGGAAUACAUCGGAAUCUACUUUUUCGUGGGGGAUAACGUAGGGAAACUUACGCUAAUACCGCAUACGACCUACGGGUGAAAGCAGGGGAUCUUCGGACCUUGCGCGAUUGAAUGAGCCGAUGUCGGAUUAGCUAGUUGGCGGGGUAAAGGCCCACCAAGGCGACGAUCCGUAGCUGGUCCGAGAGGAUGAUCAGCCACACUGGAACUGAGACACGGUCCAGACUCCUACGGGAGGCAGCAGUGGGGAAUAUUGGACAAUGGGCGCAAGCCUGAUCCAGCCAUACCGCGUGGGUGAAGAAGGCCUUCGGGUUGUAAAGCCCUUUUGUUGGGAAAGAAAAGCAGCAGGUUAAUACCCCGCUGUUCUGACGGUACCCAAAGAAUAAGCACCGGCUAACUUCGUG
rnacentral:rRNA from 1 species